rnacentral:rRNA from 1 species
UGGGGAAUAUUGCACAAUGGGCGCAAGCCUGAUGCAGCCAUGCCGCGUGUAUGAAGAAGGCCUUCGGGUUGUAAAGUACUUUCAGCGGGGAGGAAGGGGUUGAGGUUAAUAACCUCAGCAAUUGACGUUACCCGCAGAAGAAGCACCGGCUAACUCCGUGCCAGCAGCCGCGGUAAUACGGAGGGUGCAAGCGUUAAUCGGAAUUACUGGGCGUAAAGCGCACGCAGGCGGUCUGUCAAGUCGGAUGUGAAAUCCCCGGGCUCAACCUGGGAACUGCAUUCGAAACUGGCAGGCUAGAGUCUUGUAGAGGGGGGUAGAAUUCCAGGUGUAGCGGUGAAAUGCGUAGAGAUCUGGAGGAAUACCGGUGGCGAAGGCGGCCCCCUGGACAAAGACUGACGCUCAGGUGCGAAAGCGUGGGGAGCAAACA